rnacentral:rRNA from 1 species
CCUACGAGUGGCAGCCGUGGGGAAUAUUGCACAAUGGGGGAAACCCUGAUGCAGCGACGCCGCGUGAGUGACGAAGUAUCUCGGUACGUAAAGCUCUAUCAGCAGGGAAGAAAAUGCAGGUACCUGACUAAGAAGCCCCGGCUAACUACGUGCCAGCGACCGCGGUAAUACGUAGGGGGCAAGCGUAAUCCGGAUUUACUGGGUGUAAAGGGAGCGUAGACGGCAGCACAAGUCUGGAGUGAAAUCCCGGGGCUUAACCCCGGAACUGCUUUGGAAACUGUGCGGUUGGAGUGCAGGAGGGGUAAGCGGAAUUCCUAGUGUAGCGGUGAAAUGCGUAGAUAUUAGGAGGAACACCGGUGGCGAAGGCGGCUUACUGGACUGUAACUGACGUUGAGGCUCGAAAGCGUGGGGAGCAAACAGGAUUAGAUACCCCUGUAGUC